UACAGGGGGGGCGAGCGUUGUUCGGAAUUACUGGGCGUAAAGGGUUCGUAGGUGGCCGACUAAGUCAGACGUGAAAUCCCCAAGCUUAACUUGGGAACUGCGUCUGAUACUGAGUGGCUUGAAUUCGGGAGAGGGAUGCAGAAUUCCAGGUGUAGCGGUGAAAUGCGUAGAUAUCUGGAGGAAUACCGGUGGCGAAGGCGGCAUCCUGGACCGAGAUUGACACUGAGGAGCGAAAGCCAGGGGAGCAAACGGG
rnacentral:rRNA from 1 species